GGUGUGAUCUGGAUCCUGAUCCUUGGUUGAAAUAUUCAGUGAAUGAAGGUCUGAGGGUCUUCCACUGUUUGGACAGGAAGGUAUUGGUAUGUAAGCCCGGAGCUCAGGGUAGUUAGUGUAAUUCAUGGUUCUGUGGUGAGUGGGACUCUGAAAUUUGGGGGAGGAAAGGGAAUACGAUGCAAAUGCCCACCACGCCCCUCUCACUCCUGUGGAAGACUGAUGAUAUAAGGUGUUUCAGGGUAGUCUGGAGACUCUGAGGGCAAAGGGGUAACAUCCCAGGUCAGGAAGAAUAGAGUGGCCAUAUCUUCCCUACGUUUUCAGAUCUUUAGAUAAACUAAAGCACAGCCCAGGUCCCUCCUGUGAGUGGAGAUGGGAGCACUAGGUGAAACUCUAGAACUGGAAGGGAGAAUUUGCUCUCUGCCAGAGAAGAUGAGCUGCCCAUCUCAGCAGCUGUCCAGCAGAAGCCAGACAUCUCUUUGGGAAGGGAAGAAGGAGCUUGGCUGAAAUGGCCUUUAAGUUUCUUAUGCCUUAGCUGGGUGAGAUGUUAUGGAGCUAGGACCAUGUCUGAACUGCUUCCUCCCUUUCUGCAGAGCACAAAGCCAAGCAGCUUGUAAUUGGUUGGUGCAGGUUGAAGCCCCCGCUCUCCCACUGUCUCCCCAUGACGCAGGCCAAGAUGCUGCCUCUAGUCAUACCUCUAGGGCUCACCCAAGCUGGUCAUCACCAUAUAGCCCAGAGAGAGUAGCUUCUUUGCCAUAGAGCCCAUGCCCCCCCAAGACCUCUGAUGAGACCGGUCAUAAUUUAGACCUACUGGCCAGGAGGGCCCUUGGUGACAGCCAGGAAUCAGGAAUCAGUAAAGGCCAAGCAGGACCCAGAACACGGGUUUUGCUUGCCAUACACAUUAAUUCCAGAGGUGAAUUCUAACUCCUCCUCCUCCCCAAUCGAGGCCUGUUAGAGCAGAUUGAAAACACAAAAGCACAGCGACUCAGUGGACACGUGAUUAUAAGCGCCCCCCAGUGCAUCCAUUUCAUUGCCAGGUAGAUCCUGAAAUAGCCCAGGCUAAUCCAGUCUAACCCAUUAUUGGCAAUCAAACUUGAAAGCACUUUUCUUCCUUUUCAUUCCACCCUACAUCUUACCAGCUAAUGAAAGGCAGAGUCAGGGCUUCUACCAUUGCCUUGGCUACUGAACACCAUCACAGCCCUAGAAGGGCCAUCGCGGGGGUCCCAUCAACUGCAAGGAGACUGACAUGUUCACAUCCAUGGGGCAUAUGAUACUGCAUGAAUGCCAAGUCUCCACACUGUUUGCAGCCUCCUCUGUGAAUCCCAAUGGCCUGCACUUGUACAGUUUGGGUGUUUGAUAGAUAAAGCACGUAUGAGAAGAGAAAACAAAAUAAAUCAACUUUUUAAAAAAGCCAGCACUGUGCUGUCAAUGUUCAUUUUUUUUUUUCCUUUCCAAUUCUAGUUUAAAAAAAGCCGGAGGUAAAUAAUGUCAGGUCAAUGAAUAUCAGAUAUAUUUUUUGACUGUACAUUACAGUGAAGUGUAAUCUUUUUACACCUGCAAGUCCAUCUUAUUUAUUCUUGUAAAUGUUCCCUGACAAUGUUUGUAAUAUGGCUGUGUUGAAAACCUAUACAAUAAAGCUGUGACCCUGAGAUUCAUGUUUUCC
rnacentral:lncRNA from 1 species